rnacentral:lncRNA from 1 species
GAGAAUUCCUAGUGAGGUUCUUUUUGCAUACACCAGCCACAUUUUCUUCCUGGAUGUAUCUAUUAACCUGGUUAUGCUUUUCCACAGUUGGCAAAAUAAUUCCAUUCUUUCCCUGAGAUGCAGAGGAGACCAGGACCUGCUGGCUGUGGCAUUAGCCUCCAGAUUACCUGUUCAAUGUCCAGCAGGGGGGAAUGUGUGUGAAGCGCAUCCAACGCAGUAUGUGUCAAGAUGGCGUUCCUUCUGUCUCUCAAACUCCCAAUGGCUUUGGAUGAAGUUUGACCUCUGUUUAAUGCCCCAAGAACUUCUAUUUGCAUGGCGAUUAAAAAAACCCUUCUUGAUGGUUUGCAUCAGCUGCUUAUGGUGUGAAGAAAUGGUUUUAUAUGUCCAUGAUGAUCUUUUGAAGAUGAUCAUCAGUUAGCCACUGCUGUCUCAAAGCCCACCAAACCCAGUAGGAAUCUUUUCACUGCAUCCAAGUGAAGAACUGGAACAUCUAAAGCUUUAGGUGUUAAGAGGAGAUACUAUGGAAGUUCAGCUCACCCUUAGGAAAAGCCAAGGUGGAAAAGCAGGCUCGUGAAUUGCACCAUAUGUAUGAGUUACUCUGCUAGGAUGCUCCCAACAGCUUUGUAACUUACACUGGGAACAAAGUGCUGCCAUGGGCUGUGCAUGGCCCAGGCUCCUCAGUCUGCUCUGGCUUCUCCAUUUCAGUCUCUACUAUUCCCUGAAGGAGAAACUUUUAAAACUCAUUAUAUGGUUGCUCUGUUCCAAUGAUAUUCCUAGACUUGUAUUAUACUGGCUGUUGGUUUUAUAAAUGGACAGAGCCAAAAUCUUGUCUAUGUGUCAUCCAAUUGUCUAAGUAAUCUUGGACUUUAAAAUCAAAGAUGUCAAGGGACUUGUCUUUGACAAGCAUGCUGAAUUUGCAUUUGGCUUUCAUUAGCCCUCCUUCUUGUAGUUAUUAUUAUGGCAUGAAUCUGCCUGUUUAACAGUUUAUAGUUGCUUGCUGACUACAACACCAGAAAAACUGGAAUUAGUGUGCAUUUGUUUUCCAGAAUUGUUUU